GCGCCCGUCGUACAAUGGUAGUACAGUCGCCUGAUAAGCGAUAAACGAAAGUUCGAUUCUUUCCGGGCGCA
rnacentral:tRNA from 1 species